ACGGAAGGCAGCAGUGGGGAAUAUUGCACAAUGGGGGAAACCCUGAUGCAGCGACGCCGCGUGAGUGAAGAAGUAUUUCGGUAUGUAAAGCUCUAUCAGCAGGAAAGAAAAUGACGGUACCUGACUAAGAAGCCCCGGCUAACUACGUGCCAGCAGCCGCGGUAAUACGUAGGGGGCAAGCGUUAUCCGGAUUUACUGGGUGUAAAGGGAGCGUAGACGGCUUUGCAAGUCUGAAGUGAAAGCCCGGGGCUCAACCCCGGAACUGCUUUGGAAACUGUAGAGCUAGAGUGCAGGUGAGGUAAGUGGAAUUCCUAGUGUAGCGGUGAAAUGCGUAGAUAUUAGGAGGAACACCAGUGGCGAAGGCGGCUUACUGGACUGUAACUGACGUUGAGGCUCGAAGGCGUGGGGAGCAAACAGGAUUAGAUACCCUGGUA
rnacentral:rRNA from 1 species